UAUGUAUCCGAAUUAUUCGAAAUGAAGGUUGUUAUAUUUAGUAGGAAUCAUAAUUUCUAACAUGAGGAUCCUUGAAAGGUAUGAGGCAAUGCAUAUCACAUCAAAUUCUGUAGUUUUUGCAUGGGAAGAUAGUCGAUACUAAGGAAUCACAUCCUAUUGGUGAUAGUCUGUGAAGUAUUAUGGUUUGUAACUGUUGUGUUCUUUUCAGAGGGGCUGAAGACUAUUACCCUUUGCUAUUGCAUUGUCCCUGAGCUUUAGAGCGCUGGUCACUUGUGUUGUUCUGGCAGCUGCCAAUGAUAUAUGUGGUAGUUAACCUAUAUUUGUAAAUAAUAAUUCUGGAGAAAAGGACGGUAGCGUAUAUAAAUGAAACAAGUAAUUAAUUCGAGCCCACUGAAUUCAUAGUAUUUCCAUAAGGAAUUUAAUCCCCCUCCUAGUACCUAAGGUUAUGGAUUACACCAGUGUUUCAGCGAAUACAAAGUUUGACAGCAAAUCACACUUAUAGAUAUUUUGUUUGUAGUUAAAAAAUAAUGCAGAAUAAGUGAGCCAGGAGAACUCAGAAGCCGAAUGUAAAUUCUGAGAGGAAGAAAUGCAAAGUAUAGCCAAUGUUGAGUAAUAAGAGAAAUGGAAGUCAGACUGCUCAUUGCUUUCUGUUUUCUGUCCG
rnacentral:lncRNA from 1 species